rnacentral:rRNA from 1 species
GCACGCAGGCGGUCUGUUAAGCUAGAUGUGAAAGCCCCGCGCUCAACGUGGGAGGGUCAUUUAGAACUGGCAGACUAGAGUCUGGAGAGGGGAGUGGAAUUCCAGGUGUAGCGGUGAAAUGCGUAGAGAUCUGGAGGAACAUCAAUGGCGAAGGCAACUCCCUGGCCAAAGACUGACGCUCAUGUGCGAAAGUGUGGGUAGCGAACAGGAUUAGAUACCCUGGUAGUCCACGCUGUAAACGAUGUUCACUCGCUGUUGGCGAUACACUGUCAGCGGCCAAGCGAAAGCAUUAAGUAAACCACCUGGGGAGUACGAUCGCAAGGUUGAAACUCAAAGGAAUUGACGGGGGCCCGCACAAGCGGUGGAGCAUGUGGUUUAAUUCGAAGCAACGCGCAGAACCUUACCAACCCUUGACAUCCUGUGCUACAUCCAGAGAUGGAUGGUUCCCUUCGGGGACGCAGUGACAGGUGCUGCAUGGCU